rnacentral:rRNA from 1 species
AUUGAUAUUUUGGUGCAAAAGGGUCAUAAAAGAGACUUGUCUAUUGAGCAUGGUCCUAGAGACAAAUUAUCUAGAAGGUUUUCUGCAUCGGCAUACAAUAGAGUUCUUCCAAAUGGUGAAAGUGUGAUAGAGAAUGCCUUGUAUACAUCAAAAAGCUUGACAAAAUAUUUUGUUUGUUGCUGCAAAUUAUUGAGAAAGGGUCUUGUGAGAGGAUCGUUAGCAAAUGAUGGUUUCAAUGAUUGGAUACAUCUUAAUAAUUCACUUAAAAAGCAUUAAAAUAGUAGAGAACAUGUCACAAAUAUGAAUACAUGGUAUGACUUGCGUAUGAGGUUUCAGAAUAAUCAAACAAUUGAUAAAGUUGCUCAGCGAGAACUUGAAAAGGAAAGCGAGCAUUGGAGAAAAGAUUUUUACAUGAUUGUUUCGAUUGUACAAUUUCUUGAAGAACAUACCAUAGCAUUUCAUGGCAGCAAUAGCAAGUUGUAACAAGACAACAAUGGCAAUUUCUUAGGACUGCUUCAAAUUUUGGCUCAAUUUGAUCCAAUUAUGAAACAUGUUAAUUGCAUUACCAAUGAUAAAACCCGUGAUCAUUAUCUUGGUCCUUCCAUCCAGAAUGAGUUGAUAACUUUGCUAGCUACUGUAAUCAGGUCAGAAAUUGUUAAAAAGGUUAAAAAAGUGAAAUACUUCUUAGUUACACUUGAUUGUACUCCUGGUUCAAGCCACCAAGAACAAAUGUCUUUGAUAAUAAGGUAUGUUGAUGUAUCUUCGGGCUCUGUUGCAGAAUCAUUCUUAGGUUUUUUGGAUGUGAAUGAUACCACCGAGCACAUAUUGUUUGAUGUUCUAUAAGAGGAAUUGAGGAGUCUUGAACUUGAUAUAGACAAUGUGCGAGGGCAAUGAUAUGACAAUGGGUCGAACAUGAAAGGAACAUCAAGGGGUACAAAGAAACCGUUGAAUAUAAAUCCAUGAGCUUUUUACUCAGCUUGUGGUUAUCAUAGUUUGAACUUGACACUAUCUGAUAUGGAAAAUUCAUGUCAUAAAGUAACUAAUUUUUUUGGAGUUUUUAAGAACAUCUAUACAACAUUUGCUAAUUCUACUAAGAGGAAAAUUCUUAAGGAUAAUAUAAGAAGAUUGACUCUCAAGUCAUUGUCAGCUACUCGUUGGGAGAGUCGUGUUGAUAGUGUUAAGGCUAUAAGGUUUCAGAUCUUAGAUAUAAGGGAAGCUUUGCCACAAGUGGCGGAAAGUGAUAAAGAUCCGUUAACAAGUAUAUCUACAAUCAUAUGGUAUGAUAUAUUAUCUUCUGUUAAUUUGGUCAGCAAGCAACUAGAAUCAAAGGAUAUGCUUAUUGAUAUUGCAAUUGAGUAUGUAUAGGGGCUGAUUUCCCUUUUCAAUAAGUAUACGGAAACUGGCUAUUCAAAAGCAUUAGAAGCUGCAAAAGAAAUUGUGAUGGAGAUGGAUAUUCAUACAGGGUUCCGCACAAAGCAUAAAAUCAAAAGAAAAAGAUAGUUUGAUGAGGUGGACAUGAUGCAUUUCUUGAUUCACAACCUACAGAAAAGUGUUAGGGUCAGUUAUUUUAUACUUGUUGUUGAUCAAGCUAUAGCUUCUCUUACCAGAAGAUUUGAACAAUAUCAGGAGCAUGAAAAAAUAAUAUCUUGUUUACUUUAG